GGUCCGUUGGCCCAAUGGUAAGGCGUCUGACUACGACUUCGGAUCGAAGAGUCAAUCAGGAGAUUCUGGGUUCGACCCCCAGGCGGACCU